UCUUGCCUGUGUCAUUGCCUG
rnacentral:misc_RNA from 1 species